rnacentral:rRNA from 1 species
GAUGAACGCUGGCGGCGUGCCUAAUACAUGCAAGUCGAGCGAACAGAUGAGGAGCUUGCUCCUCUGACGUUAGCGGCGGACGGGUGAGUAACACGUGGAUAACCUACCUAUAAGACUGGGAUAACUUCAGGAAACCGGAGCUAAUACCGGAUAAUAUAUUGAACCGCAUGGUUCAAUAGUGAAAGACGGUUUUGCUGUCACUUAUAGAUGGAUCCGCGCCGCAUUAGCUAGUUGGUAAGGUAACGGCUUACCAAGGCAACGAUGCGUAGCCGACCUGAGAGGGUGAUCGGCCACACUGGAACUGAGACACGGUCCAGACUCCUACGGGAGGCAGCAAUAGGGAAUCUUCCGCAAUGGGCGAAAGCCUGACGGAGCAACGCCGCGUGAGUGAUGAAGGUCUUCGGAUCGUAAAACUCUGUUAUUAGGGAAGAACAAAUGUGUAAGUAACUAUGCACGUCUUGACGGUACCUAAUCAGAAAGCCACGGCUAACUACGUG